GAUGAACGCUGGCGGCGUGCUUAACACAUGCAAGUCGAACGAAGAUGCCGGAGUGCUUGCACUUUGGCAGACUGAGUGGCGGACGGGUGAGUAACGCGUGGGUAACCUGCCUUAUACAGGGGGAUAACAGUUGGAAACGACUGCUAAUACCGCAUAAGCGCACGGUAUCGCAUGAUACAGUGUGAAAAACUCCGGUGGUAUAAGAUGGACCCGCGUUGGAUUAGCUAGUUGGUAGGGUAACGGCCUACCAAAGCGACGAUCAGUAGCCGGCCUGAGAGGGUGAACGGCCACAUUGGGACUGAGACACGGCCCAAACUCCUACGGGAGGCAGCAGUGGGGAAUAUUGCACAAUGGGGGAAACCCUGAUGCAGCAACGCCGCGUGAAGGAAGAAGGUCUUCGGAUUGAAACUUUUGUCUUGUGGGACGAUAAUGACGGUACCACAGGAGGAAGCAACGGCUAACUACGUG
rnacentral:rRNA from 1 species